rnacentral:rRNA from 1 species
UACGUAGGGUGCGAGCGUUAAUCGGAAUUACUGGGCGUAAAGCGUGCGCAGGCGGUUCGUUGUGUCUGAUGUGAAAGCCCCGGGCUCAACCUGGGAAUGGCGAUGGAUACUGGCUCGCUAGAGUGCGGUAGAGGAGAGUGGAAUUCCCGGUGUAGCAGUGAAAUGCGUAGAGAUCGGGAGGAACAUCAGUUGCGAAGGCGGCUCUCUGGACCAGCACUGACACUGAGGCACGAAAGCGUGGGGAGCAAACAGG